AGAUUGAACGCUGGCGGCAGGCCUAACACAUGCAAGUCGAGCGGUAGAGAGGUGCUUGCAUCUCUUGAGAGCGGCGGACGGGUGAGUAAUGCCUAGGAAUCUGCCUAGUGGUGGGGGAUAACGUUCGGAAACGGACGCUAAUACCACAUACGUCCUACGGGAGAAAGCGGGGGACCUUCGGGCCUCGCGCCAUUAGAUGAGCCUAGGUCGGAUUAGCUAGUUGGUGAGGUAAUGGCUCACCAAGGCGACGAAUCCGUAACUGGUCUGAGAGGAUGAUCAGUCACACUGGAACUGAGACACGGUCCAGACUCCGU
rnacentral:rRNA from 1 species